rnacentral:rRNA from 1 species
GAGCGAACGGACGAGAAGCUUGCUUCUCUGAUGUUAGCGGCGGACGGGUGAGUAACACGUGGAUAACCUACCUAUAAGACUGGGAUAACUUCGGGAAACCGGAGCUAAUACCGGAUAAUAUUUUGAACCGCAUGGUUCAAAAGUAAAAGACGGUCUUGCUGUCACUUAUAGAUGGAUCCGCGCAGCAUUAGCUAGUUGGUAAGGUAACGGCUUACCAAGGCAACGAUGCAUAGCCGACCUGAGAGGGUGAUCGGCCACACUGGAACUGAGACACGGUCCAGACUCCUACGGGAGGCAGCAGUAGGGAAUCUUCCGCAAUGGGCGAAAGCCUGACGGAGCAACGCCGCGUGAGUGAUGAAGGUCUUCGGAUCGUAAAACUCUGUUAUUAGGGAAGAACAUAUGUGUAAGUAACUGUGCACAUCUUGACGGUACCUAAUCAGAAAGCCACGGCUAACUACGUGCCAGCAGCCGCGGUAAUACGUAGGUGGCAAGCGUUAUCCGGAAUUAUUGGGCGUAAAGCGCGCGUAGGCGGUUUUUUAAGUCUGAUGUGAAAGCCCACGGCUCAACCGUGGAGGGUCAUUGGAAACUGGAAAACUUGAGUGCAGAAGAGGAAAGUGGAAUUCCAUGUGUAGCGGUGAAAUGCGCAGAGAUAUGGAGGAACACCAGUGGCGAAGGCGACUUUCUGGUCUGUAACU